rnacentral:sRNA from 1 species
CUCUAGCCCUGAUAGCAGUGAAAAUCCUUUUUUAAGGCUUUUUUUGCCGAAAAAAAGAUUGCAGCGCAUAGCAGGAAAUAGC